AUACGGAGGGGGCUAGCGUUGUUCGGAAUUACUGGGCGUAAAGCGUACGUAGGCGGACUGAUCAGUUGGGGGUGAAAUCCCAGGGCUUAACCCUGGAACUGCCUUCAAUACUGUCAGUCUUGAGUUUGGGAGAGGUGAGUGUAAUUCCUAGUGUAGAGGUGAAAUUCAUAGAUAUUAGGAGGAACACCAGUGGCGAAGGCGGCUCACUGGCCCAUUACUGACGCUGAGGUACGAAAGCGUGGGGAGCAAACAGGAUUAGAAACCCUAGUAGUCC
rnacentral:rRNA from 1 species